rnacentral:rRNA from 1 species
GAUCCUGGCUCAGGACGAACGCUGGCGGCGUGCCUAAUACAUGCAAGUCGAGCGGAUCUCAUAAGAGCUUGCUCUUAUGAGAUCAGCGGCGGACGGGUGAGUAACACGUGGGCAACCUGCCUUACAGACUGGGAUAACUCCGGGAAACCGGGGCUAAUACCGGAUGAUCAAUGGAAUUGCAUAAUUCUAUUGUAAAAGUUGGGAUUUAUCCUAACACUGUGAGAUGGGUCCGCGGCGCAUUAGCUAGUUGGUGAGGUAACGGCUCACCAAGGCAACGAUGCGUAGCCGACCUGAGAGGGUGAUCGGCCACACUGGAACUGAGACACGGUCCAGACUCCUACGGGAGGCAGCAGUAGGGAAUCAUCCGCAAUGGGCGAAAGCCUGACGGUGCAACGCCGCGUGAACGAUGAAGGUCUUCGGAUUGUAAAGUUCUGUUGUUAGGGAAGAACAAGUGCCAUUCGAAUAGGUUGGCACCUUGACGGUACCUAACCAGAAAGCCCCGGCUAACUACGUGCCAGCAGCCGCGGUAAUACGUAGGGGGCAAGCGUUGUCCGGAAUUAUUGGGCGUAAAGCGCGCGCAGGCGGUCUCUUAAGUCUGAUGUGAAAGCCCACGGCUCAACCGUGGAGGGUCAUUGGAAACUGGGGGACUUGAGUGUAGGAGAGGAAAGGUGGAAUUCCACGUGUAGCGGUGAAAUGCGUA